ensembl:lncRNA
AUGACCCCUUUCCUCCUCGCAAGGCCUUCCCGACCCACCUCUCCCAGCCCAGCUCCCCGCCCCGGGCGCCUACCGCCCGCCCUCCCCUCACACGGCGGCUCCCACCGCCCCGCCACCGUCCGGGCACGGCUCCCUCCUGGCCCCACAGGCCUCUCCGCAGGUCUCCCCUUCGCGCCUGCCCCCGCCGCUGCCCCACGCACCCUGUCCCGGCGGAUCCCACCUCCCCGCCGCCGUCACCACCCACCAUCGCGGCCCGGCCAGGCCGCCUCGCCCCAGGCCGCUGCUGCCGCCCCCCCCCCCCCCCCCCCCCCCCCCCCCCCCCCCGGCCGGCGCGGUUCCGCAGGCGAGCCCGGGGCUGGGCAGGCCGCGGCCGCCCGGCUCCGCGGAGCGAGGCCGCCUCCCCCUUUACCGUCCGUCGGGGGGCUCGGGCCGGGCUGGGCCAUGGCUCCGGCGGGCGGGCGGCGCCGCCGCGGCCUCCUCCGCCUCCAGCCGCGGCGUCGGAGCGGGAACCGCUACGCCAGGGGGCCCCGGCGAGAGACGGGAGCUGCCGGCCUGGGCCUCCGCCUCCUCCGCCUCAUCCUGACAGCGGCCGCCGGCGGCAGGAGGAGGAGGAGGAGGAGGAGGAGGAGCGCCGCGCAGGCGCCCACGGCUUGAUACAUCAGGCAAACUUCAGUGGAGUUGUUCUUGCCUCACACCAAUGGUAAGAGGAAAGAGAAGCAAUUUAUUCAUGUUUAAUCUAUUUUGUGCCAGAUGUUUUGCUGGUAGAAAUCCAUAGCUCCACAGGCACCAAUUUCUUCAGGAUCUGGAAUGUCUGGCCCAAUUUCUUUCUCCAUUCUCGAUGGUCUGUGAAGGAAACUGCUUUAUUUUGCAAUAUUGAAUAUUCAUGCUGGGAAGUUAUAAGCAACAACAAAAAUAAUGAGAGACAGGGUCUCUAAUAAGCUUCCUGUCACAUGAGGCUCUGGUUCUGUUGAAGCAGAUGUGGUUGCUGACUUGUUUCCAAAACAUUUGUUGAGUGGUGAUUAGAUUCUGUCAUACUGAUGUUAUCUCUCUGUGAUCUCAUUCAAUACAAGUAGUUCUGCAAACAGUGAAAUCUUUUUUCCUAUGGAUUUAUGUCUUGGAUUAUGUUUCAGCAUGGACCCUCUGAUGUUUAAUGGGGACUGAGUUCAUUUUAGCCUGUUUCUUCAAUGAGAGAUGAAUAAUCUGUCUUCUUUAUUUUGCCAUCUACUUUCACAAAACUCACGGGAAUUAAGUAUCUCAAGUAUGACAAAUUUGAGUGGGAAUUAUGAACCAGUUAUGUAAACAAAUGUGAAGAUGAGUGUCAUUUUCUUACAAAAGCAAAAGAAUCUAUUUUUCAAUACUUUGUCCUUGUAUAUUACCUGCUUGAUUCUAUUCUGUUUCAUUUGUGAUCAAUCAUAUAAGAUAUGCUUUAUUUGUAAAGCUCUAUGAAAUAUGGGAAAUUUUUUUGCCAUAUUGAAUGCAUAAACAUUGUUAAUUUAUACUUGUUAUGGGCCACACAGAUUACAUUAUUUUUUAUUGUCCUCACUGGAGCAUGGGAAAGAGGUGACAUGCAUUUUAACUUACAUGUUUGCACAGGCAAAUGCAGAGAAAGAACAGAUUGUUUUUCCUUUAGAAUUAGACCUGACCAGUUCUGUUUUGGAAAGGAAAAAAGGAAACCUAGGAUUGAAAAGGACCUUUUGGGUUUCUGAGUCCAGUCUUCUGCUUCUGCAGUGAGCCAAAUUCCCAAUCUUUUUCAUAACAGAUUGUGCUAUUCAAAAAUACGCUUUUUCCUCCUUGUCAUCUGUCCUGUCCUCCCAAUUUCCUACUUUAUUUGGGCAUUUGCUCCAGAAUUUCAUUCUUUUGAUAGGAAGAACCUUUCUAAUUUCCAUAGUUAUUUUAUGCAUGUUUGUUCUUGUUCCAGGAAUGUCCCUUAGGUUGCUUAGUUCUUUUCUACACCAUCUAAGUAAACCGAGACUGUGCAUGUGCUCUGCUGUGCCAAGUCCAGUAAAGGAAGCAGGAGUUAGUCUUCAUAGCCAGCCCUUCACUUAUUUCCUUCAUGCUUUAGCUGUUUAGAGCAAAUUUUUCAUGCAUUUUUCAUGAUAUGUCUCAUUAAGCAGUGGGAAAGUUUCUGUGGAUCAUAGAUAAUUUGAGGAACUAGUCAAGUGAGAAGGGUGGUAGGAAGGUUGGCAGCAGUCUCAAUUAAGUGACUAUAGGAGGAUGAACUGUUGCACAGCCUAAGGGGGUCUUAUGAAAAUUAAGGAUACCAUGAAAAAAAGUGAGGAAAUCAUAGCCAUGUUAGUUUGUUUGUACUAAAUAAGAGGCCUUAAGUCUUUCCCUGUUCUUUCCAUGUUGAUCUUUCCAAAGUUGAUAACAUCCAGUCAACGCUUCACAUGGUUUGACAGGGGUUUCUUGGGGCCUGACCUAGGAAACUAAGCUUCCUUGAGUUUCAUGUGAAGGGACAGGGUUCUGUACCUUCAGCAAAGCUAACUUUUCUUUCACGUCCUUCUCAGUGACAAUAAAAGUCCAUCUUGAUUUUAUUCAUUUUACUUGUAUAACACAUCUGAUUAACCUUAUCAUUAUCUCUCUGAUUAAUAACCCUACUAGCCAUUCAAACUCCCUGCUUACUUUUUACAUUGGAAAUGUAACUUUUGCUUCCUCUAGAUUAAGAAAUAUUUAUAUGGCUAUUAUAAAACUUCAGCAGGAUUUAAGAAGAAAGCUUUAAAAAAAUCACAGUUGCCUCUUUCAAACGUCCUUGAUACAUUUUAAGUUACAAGAGUAAAGAAAAAUGACACCUAUCCAAUUUUCUGCUUACAUCUUGAGAACAUCUUUCUUGUAAGAAAGACAAUUCUGGAAGUCUCUCUCACUGUCUUUUUAAUCUUCUGCAAGGUUACUUUAGUUUGCUUAAUGUAAAUUGUCGUGGUUUAACCCCAGCCAGCAACUAAGCACCAUGCAGCCGCUCACUUGCUUCCCCCAUCCCACUGGAUGGGAAAAAAAAAGUAAAACUCCUGGAUUGAGAUAAGA